rnacentral:rRNA from 1 species
UACAGAGGGUGCAAGCGUUAAUCGGAAUUACUGGGCGUAAAGCGUGCGUAGACGGUUAUGUAAGUCAGAUGUGAAAGCCCCGGGCUCAACCUGGGAAUUGCAUUUGAGACUGUGUAGCUAGGGUGCGGAAGAGGGAAGCGGAAUUUCCGGUGUAGCGGUGAAAUGCGUAGAUAUCGGAAGGAACACCAGUGGCGAAAGCGGCUUCCUGGACCAACACUGACACUGAGGAGCGAAAGCCAGGGGAGCAAACGGG